GUGUCAGAUAAACGGAAUUAAGUGGUUUGAUCUUUUCACGGAAUAUUGGGCUACAAUGUAGAGCAAUGGACUGGGCGCAACUCCUGUUAAUGAAUACUGAUGAGUUAGGCUUAGUCCAGUGUUCUCCAUUAUUGCAGUAUUCCUUACUGUGAAUCCAUACUUUGAAGGCAGUGCUAUGUCAGGAUUGUUAGAUGAAGACAGGCGCGGCACUCACCACUCAAUUAGCUUCCUUGGUCUGUUAAAACAGUGUAACGACUGUUUUACUGAUAUCUGAUUAUCAUUUUGGAUAAUCUGAUACAGUUGUGGGCAUUUUUUUCAUCCACAAGCAGAGAAAAUAUAAGAACGUGGAAACUUACUAAGUAUCCCAAAACAAUCGGUAAAGGUGUAAACAUAAGGCAUCUAAUAGAGUGACAUAGGGCGAUUUACAGGGAUGUGCAAAUUCCCACUGGAUCUGAUGCAUUAGUGAUUCUCUUUUAUAAUGUAGACAAUAAGUUUCGGGUCUGUUUUCCUUCAGGGUUCAUUAUUACAGACCAAAUCUACACUAAUGACCACGAAUAUGGGCCGGUUAGCAAUGUGCUUAAUAAGGUAUAGUACUGCUCCUCCUGGAAGCCAACAGCCUUCAGUAAUUCAUUGAGUGCUCCCACGCCCUUUCGUUGUUUGUGAUGCCACUCUGCUUUGUACAGUGCCAACUAGCAAUGUGAAGUGUAGCCGGAAACAGAUGCCAACUGCUGACAAGCAUGAGUCACAUUGGCUAUUGGAAAACCUGAAACUCCCUCUGAGAGUAUGUUUACUAAUUCGACACACUAACUGGCAUUGACAAAAACUUCUGAAGUACAGCAGUAAUAGACAACAUACUGAAAUGUUAAAUUACAUGUGACUAUU